GAAGCAUCUUCACUCAAUAGCUACCCACGAAUCAGGUCAGAUCUUGACGGAAGCAGCCUUAAGUAAGGCAGUUAUGUGGGUGGGGAUGCUUGGUA
rnacentral:SRP_RNA from 1 species